rnacentral:rRNA from 1 species
UACGUAGGGUGCGAGCGUUGUCCGGAAUUACUGGGCGUAAAGCGUGCGCAGGCGGUUUUGUAAGACAGGCGUGAAAUCCCCGGGCUUAACCUGGGAACUGCGUUUGUGACUGCAAGGCUAGAGUACGGCAGAGGGGGGUGGAAUUCCACGUGUAGCAGUGAAAUGCGUAGAGAUGUGGAGGAACACCAAUGGCGAAGGCAGCUCCCUGGGUCGAUACUGACGCUCAUGCACGAAAGCGUGGGUAGCAAACAGG